CGCCGCUAUUGAAGCUAGAAUUACAGAACAGAGGAGCAGCGGCAAUGAAAAAAUUUCGAAUUCUAAGCACAAAAAGUUCAACCGAAUCAAGAUACAUAUUAUUCAAUUUUCAGAAGAAUUUCAGGAUCUGGGUUGUUGAAUACAAUGUCUAAACCAAAUAACCUAAGGAGAUUCACAAUAGGCUAUACAGCUGCGAUGGAAUUAGAGAAGAAGUCGAAUGAUGAACUAGUAAGGUCUAGUCUUUCUAAAAGAAAAGCAGUGUCAACAGUGAAAGCAAUUGAAAAAAAAUGUUACAAGAGGAAAGUAAAAAUAUGAACAUUGUAUAGAUCUUGUAACACUCAUGUCUGCAUGUUGUAUAAAAUAUAUUUAACUAUAUAUGUCAUAAUAUAUUAAUCGUUGUAUUUGAUGGUAGUAUGCUUGAAUGGAUAUUUGCACUUUAUUAAAUGUGUAUGAUUUUUGUAUAAAUUUCGAUUGCAAU